rnacentral:tRNA from 1 species
GUUAAUGUAGCUUAGCAACAAAGCAAAGCACUGAAAAUGCUUAGAUGG